rnacentral:rRNA from 1 species
UACGUAGGCAGCGAGCGUUGUUCGGAAUUACUGGGCGUAAAGGGCUCGUAGGCGGCCAACUAAGUCGGAUGUGAAAUCCCCAGGCUCAACCUGGGAACUGCAUCCGAUACUGGAUGACUUGAAUUCGGGAGAGGGAUGCAGAAUUCCAGGUGGAGCGGUGAAAUGCGUAGAGAUCUGGAAGAACACCAAAGGCGAAGGCAGCGUUCUGGGAAGCAACUGACGCUCAUGUGCGAAAGCGUGGGGAGCAAACAGG